CAUUUAAGUGCAUUUAAGUCGCUUUGGAUAAAAGCGUCUGCUAAAUGACUAAAU
rfam:Danio rerio chromosome 9, GRCz11 reference primary assembly.